rnacentral:rRNA from 1 species
GACGAACGCUGGCGGCGUGCUUAACACAUGCAAGUCGAACGGAAAGGCCCUGCUUUUGUGGGGUGCUCGAGUGGCGAACGGGUGAGUAACACGUGAGUAACCUGCCCUUGACUUUGGGAUAACUUCAGGAAACUGGGGCUAAUACCGGAUAGGAGCUCCUGCUGCAUGGUGGGGGUUGGAAAGUUUCGGCGGUUGGGGAUGGACUCGCGGCUUAUCAGCUUGUUGGUGGGGUAGUGGCUUACCAAGGCUUUGACGGGUAGCCGGCCUGAGAGGGUGACCGGCACAAUGGGAAGGAGGUAGCGCCCAGGCCCCCACGGGGGGGAAGGGGGGGGAAGAUUUCACAAAGGGGCGGAGGCCGAGUGCAGAAACCCCGGGUGGGGAAGACCGCCUUUGGGGUGGGAAACGCUUUUGCCCUUGAACGAGGGGGAGUGAAGGGAAAUGGGAAAAAAGGCCCGGCUAAAUUCGUG